CAAAAGGCUCUUUUAAGAGCCACCCACCUCUUUCCAUAAAAGCGCAU
rfam:Salmo salar isolate Sally breed double haploid chromosome ssa11, whole genome shotgun sequence.